rnacentral:pre_miRNA from 1 species
UUUCUCAGGUUGUCUCGUCCAUCACUGCUUCUCUUCGUUUUGAAGGCGCUCUUAGCGUUGAUCUCACUGAGUUCC